GGGAAGCUAGGGCUUCAAGAGAAGUGAGGAGAUAAGCCACAGGAAAUGCUUCAUGAACACUCUGAUUAAACCAGCAGUGUUUGUGUUAAUUGGUUUUUCAUUGCCAUGAAGAAAAUACCUGACCAGAUGAACACAGAGGAGAAAACAUUUAUCUGGGGCUCAUAGGUUCAGAGGUCUCAGUCCAUAGAUGCCAUUGCUCUGGGCCCAAAGUGAGGAGGCACAUCAUGACCUAAGGGUUCUGCAGAGGAAAGCUGUUGCUCAUGGCAGCCAAGAAGCAGAGAGAGGGGGAAGGGGGAAUGAGCCCCAAGGAAGAAUAACUCUGUCAGGGCAUACUUCCAGUGACCCACCUCAUUCAGCCAAGCCCUACAUGCCUACAGUCACCACCCAUUCAGUCCAUUCAAACUAGGAUCGAAUGAUUAGGUUAGGCCUCUUAUAAGGUCUAAUCAUUUCACCUCUGAAUAUUUCAGCAUUAACACAGGAGCUUUGGGGAGAUGCCUAAUAUCCAGACCACAAUAGGGUUAAAGGAGAACAACACAGAGAAUGACAAUAGUAGUCAUAAAUAUGCCAUUACUAUUUGUACAUAGCAGUUAUGUUUUAGAAACAGAAAUAGAAAUAUUAAUAAAAGCCAAAAAAUAUUUUAAUCCUAUAGUCCACAUUUUAAAAAAUAAUGAAAUCUAUUAGAAACUUCUUUUGAUGAGUCCUUAAACUCUAUAUCAUAAACCUAGCCUUAUAUUUAUAUUACCUAUUCUUCAUUCCUAUCUUUCCUUACAUCUGCCUUCACCUUCUCUCCUGU
rnacentral:lncRNA from 1 species